rnacentral:rRNA from 1 species
UAGGGAAUCUUCCGCAAUGGGCGAAAGCCUGACGGAGCAACGCCGCGUGAGUGAUGAAGGUCUUCGGAUCGUAAAACUCUGUUAUUAGGGAAGAACAAAUGUGUAAGUAACUAUGCACGUCUUGACGGUACCUAAUCAGAAAGCCACGGCUCACUACGUGCCAGCAGCCGCGGUAAUACGUAGGUGGCAAGCGUUAUCCGGAAUUAUUGGGCGUAAAGCGCGCGUAGGCGGUUUUUUAAGUCUGAUGUGAAAGCCCACGGCUCAACCGUGGAGGGUCAUUGGAAACUGGAAGACUUGAGUGUAGAAGAGGAAAGUGGAAUUCCAUGUGUAGCGGUGAAAUGCGCAGAGAUAUGGAGGAACACCAGUGGCGAAGGCGACUUUCUGGUCUGUAACUGACGCUGAUGUGCGAAAGCGUGGGGAUCAAACAGG